UUAAGUGGUGGAUACGUAUUCAUGUGCUCUUUUUAGCAAAAACAAUCGGAACGAACAUUAUUGGCCGCUUUUCAAGUAACGUUUAUACAUAUGGUUCUGGCUGAUAACAUUUUUGGUGCCAUCCAUUGUGUUGGGAAAGCUUACUGAUGGAAUCCCACUUUGAGAGGGCCUAAUUGAAUUCGAGUUGGGCACUGGUUGGGUGAUUAAAGGUUUGAGAACAACUGCCUUUAAUAUGUUUACUGAAGGUAAGUGUGGUGAAGGAAAUAAAGGACCUGGGAGUUAAAUGUAGCGCAGCUGGUUUUUGCAAAGAUUACUAAAUGGGUCGUUUGACUACAGGAAUGGUCGUUUGACUAGACAUACAUGGUUAGAGGACUCGUGCUCGACAAAAUAAGAGGAAAUAUACUGAAGGUAAGUGUUGUGAAGGAAAUAAAGGUGCUGGGAGUUAAAUGUAACGCAGUUGGUUUUUGCAGAGAUUACUAAAUGGGUCGUUGACUACUGGAAUGGUCGUUUAACUAGACAUACAUGGUUAGAGGACUCGUGCUCGACAAAAAAAGAGGAAAUAUACUGAAGUCGCGCGUCGGUCAAAUACCAAACUGAAGUGUUUACAAUAGCAUAUUUUCAGUUAAUUGCAUUUUUUUUAUUUUAUUUUUUAUUUGUGUAUCGUUCUCUUUUCGAGAUGGACAGGUAAGUGUGGUGAAGUGUGGUGAAGGAAAUAAAGGACCUGGGAGUUAGCUGGUUUUUGCAAAGAUUACUAAAUGGGUCGUUUGACUACAGGAAUCAGCGGCGGAUCUACAGGGGGGUCAGGGGGGUCCGUUGACCCCCCGGCCAGCCGGAUUUUCCCUUAAACGGAGUACUCGACGGAAAUUUUUUUAAAGGCUUGACCCCCUUGUUUGUCUCCCGUAGGGUAUAUAAAGUUGAAAUAAAAAAAUAGAAAAUUUUUGAAGUUCUCCGGCCAAGUUGCGGUGGUUCGGCAGCGGCCCUGUUACUCCGGCGAAUUGGUAGAGAAGAAGACGUUAAGUGGUUAUGUGGAGCAGUGGAGAUAAUUAUGUAGUAUUUGUUAUGGCCAUUGGGUUUUUAACCUAACAGGCCCAUUUAAAAAAGAAAAUAAAAAAACCUAAUAUUAUAUAAUUCAAAACAACACAAUAGAAUAGAAUAGACAAUACAUAGUUGCGGCUGUGUGCUCUGAGCAUACAUCAGCUUUUUCACUUUUUCCAUUGAAAGUUGCA